GACGAACGCUGGCGGCGUGCUUAACACAUGCAAGUCGAACGAUGACGCCUAGCUUGCUUGGUGUUUUAGUGGCGAACUGGUGAGUGAUACGUGAGUGCCCUACCUUUUACUUUUUGAUAGGCCUUGGAAACUGGGUCUAUUACCUAAUACGACCAAUCUCCUCCUGGUGUAUUCGUGGGAUGUUCUAUCGUGUGGUUUUAGAUUGACUCACGGCCUAUCUCCUUGUUGGUCAGGUAAUGGCUUACCAAGGCGACGACUGAUCGCCGGCCUGGGAGGGGUAACAGCCACACGAGGCCUGAGAGAGGGAGCAGAGUCCAACGGGAGACAGCAGUGGGGAAUAUUGCACAAUGGGAGCAAGCGUGUGGAAAAGACGUCGCGGGAGGGAUGACGGCCUUCGGGGUGUAAACCGCUGUUAGUUACGAAGAAGCGAAAGUGACGGUAGGUGAAGAGAAAGCGCCGGCUAACUACGUG
rnacentral:rRNA from 1 species